UGAGAACUGAAUUCCAUGGGUUG
rnacentral:ncRNA from 10 species